AUCUGGCUCAGAACGAACGCUGGCGGCAGGCCUAACACAUGCAAGUCGAACGCCCCGCAAGGGGAGUGGCAGACGGGUGAGUAACACGUGGGAACGUGCCCUUCGGUUCGGGAUAACUCAGGGAAACUUGGGCUAAUACCGGAUACGUGCGAGAGCAGAAAGAUUUAUCGCCGAAGGAUCGGCCCGCGUCCGAUUAGCUAGUUGGUGAGGUAAUGGCUCACCAAGGCGACGAUCGGUAGCUGGUCUGAGAGGAUGAUCAGCCACACUGGGACUGAGACACGGCCCAGACUCCUACGGGAGGCAGCAGUGGGGAAUAUUGGACAAUGGGCGCAAGCCUGAUCCAGCCAUGCCGCGUGAGUGAUGAAGGCCCUAGGGUUGUAAAGUCUUUCGCCAGGGACGAUAAUCACGGUACCGAUAAGAAGCCCCGGCUAAUUCUGUC
rnacentral:rRNA from 1 species